AUGGCUGGGGUUCUGGUGCUGUGUCUUCCUCAGGCAUUUGGCUUCCAGUCUGCUUCAGAUCCAGUCAACCCCCACAAGCACUUCUGGGCAUCUCCAGCAGGUGGCUCAGCUACGCUUCAUAACACCUCUCUUCUGACUGAUUGCAAAGGCAAGUCGAGUGCUGGAACGGACGCUCUAAAGAGCCCUUUGAAAAGUCAUGGAAUGCUUGCUGGUGUGAAUGUUACCCUCGGAAUUGCUGAAGCCCUCUCCCAAUGUAUAGGAUUACCUCCACACGAAAUGCUCUCUUUCAGUGACUUUGUACAAGGAACACACCAGGUUAAAUUUCCCAUAAAAUCUAAUAAAUUGAGGAGAGUACAGAAAAUACCAGCACCUACAAGCCAGCCAGCCAAAACAACAGCAUAGCCGGGAACAGAAUUUGAGUCUUCUUGGACAAUAUAUACUCAAGGAAAACAUUCUUUGUGCUUCAGUUGUCUAACUUGGCUCUUCUUAUUCCACCUAAAAUAUAUUAAAUUUUGACCUUCCAAAUCAUUGUGGUUCUUUGUACCAAUGGGAUUGCUUUUUAUUACCAAAUCGAAGGAGGGGGGCAAUGAACACUGUCUCCAUGAUGAGAAGUUGUGUGUUGCUUAAUAUUUAGACAUGGCUUUGGAGAUUUUAUCCCAUCCAAACAGUUCUG
rnacentral:lncRNA from 1 species